AACGAACGCUGGCGGCAUGCCUAACACAUGCAAGUCGAACGAGACCACCGGGUCUAGUUGCGCACGGGUGCGGAGCGCGUGGGAACCGGCCCGUAGGCUCCGAAUAACUCCCCGUAAGGGGUGCUAAUACCGGGUAAUUUACUCGGACCAAAGAUUCAUCGCCCUUGGUUGGGCCCGCGUUGGUUUAGCCUGUUGCGAGUGUAAGAGCCUAUCAAGGCGUCGCUACAUAGCUGGGCUGAGAGGAUGAGCAGCCACACUGGGACUGAGACGCGGGCCAGAAUCCUGCGGGAGGCAGGAGAGGGGAAUACAGGAAAACGGGCGAAAGGAUGAAGCCGUAAGGCCGGGUGAGUGAUGAAGGCGGGAGGGAUGUAAAGCUGUUUUACCCGCGGCGGUAAUGACGGUACCGAGAGAAUAAGCACCGGCUAACUUCGUG
rnacentral:rRNA from 1 species